rnacentral:lncRNA from 1 species
AAAGGGACAAGAACCUGUUGAUAGAUGCUUUCUGGCCAUGCCAGCUUUCAGAGAAAAUAUAGGGAAGGCAGGACUGUUUCUGCCUGCACCACUAACCAACUGGGUAGGAAAAAUGCUUUCAGCUCAUACAGGAGCUUGUGAAAAUGUUUCUGCACUACAAGGAGAAACUAAUGAACCAGUGACACAGAAAACAUGGUGCUCCCUCAGGGGGAUGUGAUACCAAGGACCCUUACACCCCUGUUGCAGAGGGCUGCAGUGGGGGGAGAGGGAAUUUGUGUAAUGUUGCUUCCAUGGAGCCACUGAGCAAAAGCUGCUUUGAGAAGUGGGCUUCCAGAACUGGAUGAGACACCAUUUCACACAGUAUGGGAGUGAUCUGGGCCCAAAGCUGCCUCAGGACUGUAUUCCCGCUGUCAGCAUUGUGUAAGUGGAGUUCAGUAACAGGGAAGGGACAAAGAUGUGCAGGGCUCACAACACCUGCCUGAGAUGCACUUGACUAGUGCAAUUAGUUUGCUGUGUUCUCCAAGCUAACGACAGUUUUGUCAUUUUUUUUUCCUAUGGAUUUGUUGCUUUUCUUUAGUUUAAUUUCUGUUUUUUUUUUUUUUUUGUUGUUUCCUAAAGUUUCCCCCACUUCUGAGACUCAUUUCUUGUAGAUAGUGAAUUGUGGUUUCUUGCAGGUUCUUCUCAGGAUGGAACUCCCCAAAUUUUAGAAAUUCCCCUAUGGUAGACUGACGCUAGUUAUACCUAAUACAUAUUGCUGACAGCAAUAUCUGGCAUAAAGGUGACAGGGAUGUCAAUCAUGUAUUGCCUAUUGCUGCUGUCCAGCUGAACAACAUGACUUCAGAUCAUCUGUGAUUACAUGUCAGUAUGUUUAUUAUUGAUUUAUUUAAUUUAGCAUUUUUUUUCCAACUGUCCUUGAUACUUCUAACCAUGCUUGGAGAUGAGUGUCUGACACACAGAUCACUGCUUCCAAGAGGGUAUGGGCAGCUGGCAAAGAGAACUCAAUAACACAAUUUGCUCUGCUGAUUUUAUUGAGUAUGUAAGUAAAAGGGUUUUCGUUCAUCUCGGUGA